AUUGAACGCUGGCGGCAGGCCUAACACAUGCAAGUCGAACGAGUGGCGGACGGGUGAGUAAUGUCUGGGCAUCUGCCCGCUGGAGGGGGAUAACUACUGGAAACGGUAGCUAAUACCGCAUACCAUCGGAUGUACCCAGAUGGGAUUAGCUGGUAGGGGAGGUAAUGGCUCACCUAGGCGACGAUCCCUAGCUGGUCUGAGAGGAUGAUCAGCCACACUGGGACGGAGACACGGCCCAGACUCCUACGGGAGGCAGCAGUGGGGAAUAUUGCACAAGGGGCGCAAGCCUGAUGCAGCCAUGCCGCGUGUAUGAAGAAGGCCUUCGGGUUGUAAAGUACUUUCAGUGGGGAGGCGUUACCGACAGAAGAAGCACCGGCUAACUCCGUGCCAGCAGCCGCGGUAAUUC
rnacentral:rRNA from 1 species